GUUGCUGAGAUCCAGCAGUGGCCUGAAGGUAUGUUACUGUAGGUUCAGGAGUGGGUUGCUGAGGUCCAGCAGUGCCCUGAAGGUAUGCUAGGUUCAGGAGUGGGUUGCUGAGGUCCAGCAGUGGCCUGAAGGUAUGCUAGGUUCAGGAGUGGGUUGCUGAGGUCCAGCAGUGGCCUGAAGGUAUGCUAGGUUCAGGAGUGGUUGCUGAGGUCCAGCAGUUAGAUCUGAACAAAUAGAGCAACAACUCAAAACGGACAACCAGAAAAAGCUCAAACCAAGUUUAUUCCACCCACAAGCAUAUAUUUAUACUUUCAGACUUGGCGGAGUCACCGCCUUACAAGUCUAAGAUAAACAAUCCUUCUCUGUGGUUUGACAGAAACACUGUAUGGUCCUCUUACUGGUAUUGUCAUGGCCUUAAAUCUAGGACCCUCAUGGGCGUGGAAGUGUGUGUGUGUAUGGGAUAGGACUGUAGUCAGAUGGUCUUCGGGGUGGGCCCCAAUGGCCCCCCACCCAGCAGUGUGUGUAUAGGAUAGGACUGUAGUCAGAUGGUCUUCGAGGUGGGCCCCUAUGUCCCGCCAACCCAGCAAUGUCUUCUGUCUUCAACUGUUGACUAAUCCUGAGUUGAGUUCCACAUCCCUCAUUGUCCUAGUUCCACAGAAACUGGCCUUCCUUAUCAGGAACUGAAACUAGACUGCUACCCUUUGCCUCCUUCCUAUAUUCAUAUUAAUAUUCAGCAAAAAACGUGUUUGAACAGAAUUUAAACUUUCUACACUUCCUCUUGUCUCACUCAGUAACUGUCCAUGCACAAAGUUCCUAUUCACCCUUAAUUGACCCCUAAAAUAUACAUGUCUUACACAUGUAAAGUAGUCAAUAUGUUCUAAUAUGAUGACAGGAAUGAGUAUAUUUCAAGCCAGAAUGCAACAGGUAGAAAAGUGAAUGUUUCGCUGUCUCUCAACUUCAUAAAUGUAUUGAUGUCAGUGGAGUCAUGUUUGUAACCUGCCCUAUGUUUGACAACCACACUUCAGGAUAGUCAGACAGGAAAUGUCCAGAAGAAGGCUGAUGGGCUUUACCUCAGUGUGAAACAGAGGGAAUACUACCUCUACCGUUUGACAGACGGCAACAAGAGGAAGACAAGGCAGCCUUGACAACUGCCAUUGUUCAACUUGACGAGCAGCAGGCAGAGUUUUGGCUCCCCACAGAGGAUAAGCUGCUCAAUACUGACAACUUUGUGUGGCCAUGGGAGAGACUAGGCACCAGCAACAGCCAUCUUGCAAUCAAAAAGGCAAUCUUGGACAGACGGACGUUGCUGAACAGACUGCAGGAGGAAGAGAAGAUCCUGGUGCAGGAGAUGAAGAGGGACUGGGAGAGCCUACAAAGAGCAGUGGGAACUGGAAGCGCUGGGGGAGCCUACAAAGAGCAGUGGGAACUCUGGAGGCUUUGUCCCUGCAUCUGCAAGAUCAGAGCAAUGCAGUGGAGUUAUCAGAGAGAGGGAGGAAUGGCCUUUUCUGCCUCCUGAAGAGAAGAUUGAGUGAACCGACACAAGACCAAGACAACAGCAGGAAUACCUACCACAAGCUGAUUCUGGGAGAAGGGGCUAUUUUUGAUGACUCUGAUGAAGAUGAGAACUCAGAUGAAGAUGUAUGUCCUAUUGCUGAGAGCUCAGAUGAAGAUAGAAGUCCUAUUGCUGAGAGCUCAGAUGAAGAUAUAAGUCCUAUUGCUGAGAGCUUAGAUGACGACUGCUGUGUUUUCUGAAAUCAUACACCACCCCUGCCUCUCUCGCUCGCUCUCUCUCGCUCUCUCGCUCUCUCUCUCUCUCUCUCUCUCUCUCUUGCAGGAGAGAGAGAAGGCUGCCACCACCUCCCUCGGGAGCAGCCUAGUCUCCCGAUGUUGACCCCUGACCCCUCACCUUCUGAACCCUUCCAGGGAAAUGUAAUUUGACUGAUACGCUAGUGGAGAAGGAAUGUCUAAUUUCAGCGCAUUUGUUGCCAUGUUUCCUCUCCUCCGUUUCUUCUGGUCCUAUGGCGACUAUGGCGACAUCAGCAGCAACUCAGAAUGUUGGCUUAGGACUUCUUUACUGAGGAAUGUGGUUGUUGUUAAUGUUAUUUUGUUAUUAUAUAUAUUUUUUGUAUUUUCUAUGCUGCUCGGAUUGUGAUUUUGGUGUAAUUUUGAGUUGCAAAAUAGUCCUUGGUCUCAAUUGGACUGCUUAAAUAAAUAAAGUAAAAGUCUUAAUAAAUAAAUCAAUAACAGGUCUGUACAUAGUAUGAAUAAAUUAUUUUGAUGUAAUAAAAAGUGUAAUACAUUGCUGCCCCUUUCAGCAUUGUAAGUACAUCACCUAUCUGAAAUGUGACUUGCCA
rnacentral:lncRNA from 1 species